rnacentral:tRNA from 1 species
CUCGUCGCUGGCCAGGCCCUUGCCGCCGCCGCUCGAGUCGCCGGAGUCGUCGGGGUCGUCGCCCGACGACGAGCC